rnacentral:tRNA from 1 species
UCUAUGCUGGCUUAGUCAGUAAAGAAUCUACCUGCAAUGUGGGAGACCCAGGUUCAAUCCCUGGGUCGGGAA